rnacentral:rRNA from 1 species
GACGAACGCUGGCGGCGUGCUUAACACAUGCAAGUCGAACGGUGAAGCGCCUUCCUUUUUGGUGGGUGUGGAUGAGUGGCGAACGGGUGAGUAACACGUGAGUAACCUGCCCCCUUCUUCUGGAUAACCGCAUGAAAGUGUGGCUAAUACGGGAUAUUCUGGGUCUGUCGCAUGAUGGGUCUGGGAAAGAUAUUGUUUCGGUGGGGGAUGGGCUCGCGGCCUAUCAGCUUGUUGGUGGGGUGGUGGCCUACCAAGGCGGUGACGAGUAGCCGGCCGGAGAGGGUGGACGGGCACACUGGGACGGAGACACGGCCCAGACUCCUACGGGAGGCAGCAGUGGGGAAUAUUGCACGAUGGGCGCAAGACUGAUGCAGCAUCGCCGCGUGAGGGAUGGAGGCCUGCGGGUUGUGAACCUCUUUCGCCAGUGAAGCAGGCCUGCCUCGUUUGUGGGCGGGUUGACGGUAGCUGGAGAAGAAGCGCCGGCUAACUACGUG